rnacentral:rRNA from 2 species
GGCGGCAGGCUUACACAUGCAGUCGAGCGGGGAAGUAUAGCUUGCUAUACGACCUAGCGGCGGACGGGUGAGUAAUGCUUAGGAAUCUGCCUAUUAGUGGGGGACAACAUUCCGAAAGGAAUGCUAAUACCGCAUACGCCCUACGGGGGAAAGCAGGGGAUCUUCGGACCUUGCGCUAAUAGAUGAGCCUAAGUCAGAUUAGCUAGUUGGUGGGGUAAAGGCCUACCAAGGCGACGAUCUGUAGCGGGUCUGAGAGGAUGAUCCGCCACACUGGGACUGAGACACGGCCCAGACUCCUACGGGAGGCAGCAGUGGGGAAUAUUGGACAAUGGGCGAAAGCCUGAUCCAGCCAUGCCGCGUGUGUGAAGAAGGCCUUUUGGUUGUAAAGCACUUUAAGCGAGGAGGAGGCUACCGAGAUUAAUACUCUUGGAUAGUGGACGUUACUCGCAGAAUAAGCACCGGCUAACUCUGUGCCAGCAGCCGCGGUAAUACAGAGGGUGCGAGCGUUAAUCGGAUUUACUGGGCGUAAAGCGUGCGUAGGCGGCUUUUUAAGUCGGAUGUGAAAUCCCUGAGCUUAACUUAGGAAUUGCAUUCGAUACUGGGAAGCUAGAGUAUGGGAGAGGAUGGUAGAAUUCCAGGUGUAGCGGUGAAAUGCGUAGAGAUCUGGAGGAAUACCGAUGGCGAAGGCAGCCAUCUGGCCUAAUACUGACGCUGAGGUACGAAAGCAUGGGGAGCAAACAGGAUUAGAUACCCUGGUAGUCCAUGCCGUAAACGAUGUCUACUAGCCGUUGGGGCCUUUGAGGCUUUAGUGGCGCAGCUAACGCGAUAAGUAGACCGCCUGGGGAGUACGGUCGCAAGACUAAAACUCAAAUGAAUUGACGGGGGCCCGCACAAGCGGUGGAGCAUGUGGUUUAAUUCGAUGCAACGCGAAGAACCUUACCUGGUCUUGACAUAGUAAGAACUUUCCAGAGAUGGAUUGGUGCCUUCGGGAACUUACAUACAGUGCUGCAUGGCUGUCGUCAGCUCGUGUCGUGAGAUGUUGG